rnacentral:rRNA from 1 species
UAUUAGAGUUAGUUAGGUGAAAAGGAUAUAAAUAAAUUAUUAGUAGUAAAAGGUGAAAUUAGAUUGUUAUUAAAUAAUUAGAAUAUAUCAAAACUGAAGCUAAAAAAGUUUGAUUAAAAACUAGGAUUAGAUACCCUAUUAUUUUAAAUUUAAAUAUUAAUAAGCUCUAGAUAAGUAGUAGAUAGGUACUUAAAAAUUAAAAAAUUUGGCGGUGAUUUAAUCUUUUCAGAGGAACUUGUUUUUUAAUCGAUAAACCACGUUUAAUCUUACUUAUUUUGGUGUAAACAGUAUGUAUACCAUCAUUAACAGGUAAUUUUAAAAGAAAAAAUUACUAAAAAUAAUUAAUUAAAAAAAUUAGAUCAUGGUGCAGCUUAUAAAUAAGGUAAAAUGAGUUACAAUAAAGUUUUUUAUAUGAAUUAGUAAAGGAAGAGUUUACUAUAAAGGUGGAUUUGAUUGUAAGUGUGGAUUAAUAAGCUUAUUUGAUAUUGGUGCUAAAUCAUGUACAUAUCGCCCGUCGCUUUCGCUAACCGAAAUAAGUCGUAACAUA